rnacentral:sRNA from 1 species
CAUAGGGCUUCACCCUAUGCUAUUUUAUGUCACCCUUUCAGGGUU